UUCGCAAUGCCCGAAAGGGUGACGAGGCGACGCCGCGUGCGGGAAGAAGGCCUUCGGGUUGUAAACCGCUGUCGGGAGUUAAGAAAUGUAAGGAUGUUAAUAGCAUCUUUGCUUGACUAAGGCUCCGGAGGAAGCCACGGCUAACUCUGUGCCAGCAGCCGCGGUAAUACAGAGGCGGCAAGCGUUGUUCGGAAUUAUUGGGCGUAAAGAGCACGUAGGCGGCUAUGUAAGUCUGUUGUGAAAGCCUUCCGCUCAACGGGAGAACAGCAUCCGAUACUGCAUGGCUUGAGUGCGGGAGGGGAGAGUGGAACUUCUGGUGGAGCGGUGAAAUGCGUAGAUAUCAGAAGGAACGCCGGCGGCGAAAGCGGCUCUCUGGCCCAUAACUGACGCUGAGUGUGCGAAAGCUAGGGGAGCAAACGGGAUUAGAUACCCCGGUAGUCCUAGCCGUAAACGAUGGGCACUAAGUAGAGGGGUUUU
rnacentral:rRNA from 1 species